GUUGUCCCUUAACGGACUCUGUACAUUUCAUUCCGGUAAAGAUCAACGCGUCAGAGCUGUGCUAGCAUUUCCCUGUGAAGGUCGCGAGUCGUAUUAUCAUUUAAAGAUGUCUUUGGUCAAGCCUGCCAUGAGAGGACUGCUGGGGAAGCGUCUGAGGUUUCAUCUGCCCAUUGCUUUCACACUCUCCUUGAUUGCAGCUGCAGCUUUCAAGUAUGGAGUCACUGAGCCCAGGAAACAGGCUUAUGCUGACUUCUACAAGCAGUACGACGCCACCAAGGAGUUCAAUGCCAUGAGGGAAGCAGGGAUCUUCGAGAGUGUCCGGCCAUCUGAAGAAUAAACACGUGUGUAGCUGUCACAUCCUCAUGUAGCUGAGAAAUGAUGCAGAGGAUCCCAUUAAAGUGUUACGUGUUGUCAUGCUCUGCAUUCCCGGUUGGAAGUCCCUAAUCCUCUAUGUUCUAUACUGAUGUCUGAUGUGAACAUUGUUUAUAUGUUCUCAUAAAUAAAAUGGUCUAUUGUG